rnacentral:rRNA from 1 species
CUACGGGCUGCUGCAGUGGGGAAUAUUGGACAAUGGGCGCAAGCCUGAUCCAGCAAUGCCGCGUGAGUGAAGACGGCCUUAGGGUUGUAAAACUCUUUCGCUAGGGAAGAUAAUGACUGUACCUAGUAAAGAAGUCCCGGCUAACUCCGUGCCAGCAGCCGCGGUAAUACGGAGGGGACUAGCGUUGUUCGGAAUUACUGGGCGUAAAGAGUUCGUAGGCGGACUGACAAGUUAGAGGUGAAAUCCCAGGGCUCAACCCUGGAACUGCCUUUAAAACUGUCAGGCUAGAGACCGGAAGAGGCUAGGGGAAUACCUAGUGUAGAGGUGAGAUUCGUAGAUAUUAGGUGGAACACCAGUGGCGAAGGCGCCUAACUGGUCCGGUACUGACGCUGAGGAACGAAAGCGUGGGGAGCAAACAGGAUUAGAUACCCCAGUAGUC